rnacentral:tRNA from 1 species
GUGGGUAUAGCUCAGUGGUAGAGCUCACGCUUAGCAUGAAUAAGGUCCUGGGUUCAGUCCCCAGUACCUCCA